rnacentral:lncRNA from 1 species
AGGGGGUGAUGGGGCUCUAGAGAGAGGAAAGAGGGGGUGAUGUGGCUGCAUAGAGAGGUAAGAGGGGAUGAUGGGGCUGUAUAGAGAGAGGUAAAAGGGGGUGAUGGGGCUGCAUAGAGAGGUAAGAGGGGAUGAUGGGGCUGUAUAGAGAGAGGUAAAAGGGGGUGAUGGGGCUGCAUAGAGAGGUAAGAGUGGGUGAUGGGGCUGUAGAGAGAGGUAAGAGGGGUGAUGGGCUGCAUAGAAAGGUAAGAGGGGGUGAUGGGGCUGUAUAGAGAGGUAAGAGGGGUGAUGGUGCUGCAUAGAGAGGUAAGAGGGGGUGAUGGGGCUGUAUAGAGAGGUAAGAGGUGGUGAUGGGGCUGUAUAGAGAGGUAAGAGGGGGUGAUGGGGCUGUAGAGAGAGUUAAGAGGGGGUGAUGGGGCUCUAGAGAGAGGUAGGAGGGGUUGAUGGGGCUGUAGAGAGAGUUAAGAGGGGGUGAUGGGGCUCUAGAGAGAGUUAAGAGGGGGUGAUGGGGCUGUAGAGAGAGGUAGGAGGG